rnacentral:tRNA from 1 species
CCUUCGAUAGCUCAGCUGGUAGAGCGGAGGACUGUAGAGGUACAAGUUCUGCGGAAAUCCUUAGGUCGCUGGUUCGAUUCCGGCUCGAAGGA